CCACCCUCUGCACCACGAGCGCCGUCGUCUGGGGACUGCAUGGCCGAUGGACCUGCCUCCUUGGAGCCCACCCCUGCGACACUGAGGCUCCCUCAAGAAGCUCCACUCCUCUGCGCACAAGAUUGCUGGGGAUGCCCAGGGCGCCUGUGCGAACAGACCUCAGGGAGAGUAUAUAUAGGGAGAUCAGGAGAACUGUUGGUCAAGCUACUGUUGACUUAGACAUGGCAGAGGUGAAUGGGAAACCACAAGAGCCCAGCACAGACUCAGAACCACCAAUCACAAGCAUUAACCAACCAACUACAAGCAAUAGACAGAGGAUGAAUCUGAAGAACUGCUGUCAACCCAACAUCAAAGACACUGAAAAGGUCAGAUCACACAACCCAUGGUCCUUCUCUACAUCCUCACCUACCACACCCCCAAGACUCCUACCUGUCCUUGUCUGGGACAAACCACCUCCUCAGCCCACACCCCUUUUAUAAAUCCACCCUUCCCAUGCACCUCCCCAUCCACUGCUUCCAAACUAAUAUCCUCUCUUUCCUUACCAGUUGAAGCAGAUCGUCAAGAGGAUAAAAUUAGCUCUUCAACAGAGUUCAGGAAAUCCAAAGAAAACAAAAAUGCUGAACAUAGGAGCCUGUUACCACAGGGCACAUAAAAAGAAGAAUCUAAAUAAGGCGGUCCAAGAGCAAAAGAACCUGGACAACUCUGCCUCUGCGAGUAAUGCCUCAUGCAUAGUAGAGCCCAAUGAACUACAAGUUUUCUCAGCAUCCCCAGUGGAAGUUCUAAAAAAACGUUCAACCCGUAAAGACUAAACCUCCCACCAAAAGGUACACGAAUGGUGACAAUUAAUAAAAGCAACAUGUUUCGAAAAUGAUGUGUGUAU
rnacentral:lncRNA from 1 species